UGGUCGCGUCGCGUCACGUGGGCUGGUUUAUUUAUAUUUUGGUUGUUUCACAUGGCAUUUACACGCAUACUUCGUUCGCCUCAGUACUCGGUCGGAGUUCGUACUGGUUCCUGGUUAUCCCACGCAAAACAAGUGCAGUACCUGCGGCGCUCGUCUUACGUGCACUAUGGAGGGGGACACGUUUGCAAGGACGCGUCACUGUGACGCAUCGCGAGUGGAGACGCGCGUUCGCGCCUACGCUCGAACACCAGCGAUGGGAAACCGUGGCACGGUGUCACCUGUCAAGUUGCCCAGCUGAUUUCAAGUGUUUUAGCCACCGGGCAUGUUUUGCCGUUUCAGCGCCAUCCUCGGAUUUCUCUUGAGCGACCUGUGCGAGGAUGUACGAGAUCGAGCAAUAGCAUCCACAUGAAGCCUGUGCGUUUCCAAACCUUUCACCACACAUAGUUUUAGCUCUCAGAACACCUGCACAUCAAAAGCAAGAAAUGUUGAGGUGGAUUCCACAGACACAGACGCAGUGCCGAGGAACAGGAUUUCGGGAUGAGAGGGCUUGCCUGCAAGAGAGAGGCAACAUCUCAAUCUUGCAUCACAAGAUGCAAACGCAAACACAGGAUGGUUGAUCACUAAUCAUCAUGAUCACUUUGACAGGAAGAGUUGGCUCACUCUGACAAGGAACAUCUUAAAUAUAAUAAUAAUUAAAGGAAAACUAAAGAGAAGCACUAAAUCCGCUUACAGUGAUAGGGUUUUUUUUUUCUUUUUGCAAAACAACAUUUUCGUUAUAUUUCAUAGUAAUAGGUUGAUUUUAGCAGUAAAAAUUAAGAUCAAAAAGUCCUCCCCCCCCCCCCUUUUUUUUGUAGUAGCUCAGUAAAAGUUCUUGACAUUUGCUAAGUUCAGUCUUUGGCACUUCUAGAACACAACAGAGUCCAUCUUAACUGAUAAAAAAUUACCAAAGCCCAAGAAGACGCCUUCAAACUUUAUGAUGUGACGGUAAGCCAGUGCGGAAACUUCAAAAAGAUGUUGCUACCCAUCUCUCGUUUAAGCGUACUUUCUGGCUUACGAAUCUUCUUGUCACGAUAAUACUGGCUUUUUUUCUGGCAUUGUAGAAGGGUACAACUUACUAAUACAGCUCAAAUUAUUUUUCUCUUUAGUGUCCCUUUAACACAGCUCAACUAACAGUGAUCGCUAACAGCAGAGGCUAAUUUCAAUCAACAUGUCAGUAAGACUGCCACAAAAGCAUUUGCAAUGUCCACAGAACCUACGCUGAUUUGCAAAACAGGCUGUACCAGAAGUGCAACAAACAUUUCUGAAAACCUAAACUUGAGAUACAAAAGGUAGCAAAUGACAUACCGUAUUUGCUCGCGCAACACUCGCAACCCCCCCUUGGCCUAAAAAAUUAGCUUUUUCUUUCUCCUCGAGCAGACAUUGCAACCUCGAAAAUUGCUGGAGCAACUGUCGUCUGCUUGUCCCGACCGGUGGUGAUGACUGCACAGUGGCAACCUUUGACCUUUAGCAAUUACUUUAGCAAAUAAAUGACCUUUGCAGUUCCUA